rnacentral:rRNA from 1 species
UACGAAGGGUGCAAGCGUUACUCGGAAUUGCUGGGCGUAAAGCGUGCGUAGGUGGUUUUUUAAGUCCGUUGUGAAAGCCCUGGGCUCAACCUGGGAAUGGCAGUGGAUACUGGAAAGCUAGAGUGCGGUAGAGGGUAGUGGAAUUCCCGGUGUAGCAGUGAAAUGCGUAGAGAUCGGGAGGAACACCAGUGGCGAAGGCGGCUACCUGGACCAGCACUGACACUGAGGCACGAAAGCGUGGGGAGCAAACAGG